AUUUUAAGGACCAGCCUCUGCUUCUCCAAAGCCAUGGCUGUUUCUUGCUCCUCUACCUCUGACUUUGACCAGAACCUCACUAGCUGAACCGUAGCUUUGGUUACAUCCGUAGCAAAAAAGAUCCCUUUUGGAAGAAGAAGAAAGCUUUGCAUACGGACAGUUCUUCUACUAAGGCUUCAAGAUGUCUGCUUCCAUGCCACUUGAACCUGCAGCUGUGACUUCAAAUAACAGGAAAACUGUGAAGAAGGAGAAUCCUCACAUGACAAAAACUUCACCCUCAUUUCAUCCUCCCUCAUCUAUUACUGAUAGUGAUUCCAUUAUUUCUCUCCUCUUUCCUUUGAACAUCUAAAUUGUCAUUUUAAUUUCAGUUUUUUCUCCUUUGUUCAGGGAAAUCAUUGGCAAGAUCCUGCUAGAUUUCCCCUUGCAAUUUUUCUAAGAUCCAUUAAUUUUAUUUCUGUAGCCAAAAUUUACACACAUUGCCCUGUGAAUACUGCAUAUCCAGAGAGAAGAAUGUAGUCCUAAAAAGAGCUCAUUGUUUCAUCUACCUGGUUAUUAACACAUCUCCACAUAGAAACUCUUGGUACUUUCCUUACAUUUUUGUUCCUAUCUUUCCCCGCCUUCCCAUAGCCUCACAAAAUUCUUCUUUAUGCAUGUUCAAUAUGCUUGUUUAUAACUACUUCCUGAGCUCUGAGAAGUGGACCAUAAUCACGCUUCCUUUGGUUUUUUUUUCCCUUGCUUUUCCCAUGCAGACUCCAAAAUAAAACAUUUCUUUGAC
rnacentral:lncRNA from 7 species